rnacentral:lncRNA from 1 species
GUGCAGCGAGCGGAAGCUUGAAUCUUGGAAGCAGGUGCAGGCGUGCAGCAGGUAAGAUGUGAUCCUUAAGUAACUACACUUUCUUUUUCGUUUGCUUCAAUGUGACCUGAGUUGUUGUGCAUUUUAGCUUUUACCUUAUGAAUACUAAUUGAGAGUUGAGACUGCCUAUGGCUAAAGAAUUAUCUGAAAUAGCUCGAAGUGAGAAACUUCGCACUUAUAUAAUUUGUAUUUUUCUGAAAAAAAAAAAAAACUUCUGAUACACCUCUUGUUUAGGAAAGUUAGAAAUGGGAAAUUAUCUGUUCAUUUCAGUAAAUAUUUAGAAGUAAACGAAUUUAUGAUGGUGUGAUAAAUUCUUAUUACCGUAAUCUGUGGGCAAUGGUUAGUAAGUCCAGUAUGCUAAUUGCCUAAAUCAUAUAAAGGCAGUGGGCUAGAAUAAUAAUAAUUUUAUUGAAGUGCAUUUAAAGUGUAUGACAUCGCCUGAUAUUAGGGAUAGUGUUAUAGCACAAGGUCCAUAAAAACCCAAGCCUAAAUGCAGAAAGUUUAACACAAGGGCUCAUACAAAUAUGGCAAAGGGAAAAGAGUCCCAAUGGCCCUCCAAGUUUUUUCCAGGUAAAGUUUUAACACUCCAACAAUUAAUGAUAAAGGUUUGGCCAUCGAUCUAAUAAAAUAGCAUAUUUAUGACCCUUCUGUCAAAUUCAGCAGUUAAAAUUGACAGGAAGCAUCAUCUCGUGAGACGCGCGACCAAAUAUCAAGGGUAUUAUAACACAACGGAUCUUUUGUCCCACACCCUGUGCCACUCUCUGUCCCACUUUUUAUUAUAUUGUUAUUUUUCCUCCAUAAAUAUCAUGUUUUAAUUCUUUUUUGUUUCCUUAAAAUCCAAUAACUAUUAAUUGAGUAAUACACAAAAUUUAACAAAUUUAAAAAAUCAAAAUGCAUAAAAAAUGAGAUUUUUAUGAAUUUUUUGCUGUAUUUUUUAAUUUUCUAUUAUAUAUUAAUUUUUUGAAGCUAUUGUAUUUAUUUUUUACUGAAUUAAUAGUUAUUAGAUCUUAAGGAAACAAAAAAAAUUAAAACAUGAUAUUUAUGAAGAAGAAAUAGCAAUAUAAUACAAAAUGGCACAGAGAGUGGCACAGGAUGUAAGACAGAAGAUCUGUUGCGGUAUUAUAGUCUCUAAAGAAGAAUACAAAUUCUGCCAAAUAGAAGAAGAACACAAAUUCUGCCAAAUUGCUACUUACUCGGGAACUCCUGGGAUGGCAUAUGUCUUGCCCAACCUCUCCCCGACAAUCAUCCAAUCCAAGGAAAAAUCACUCCACCUCUCCUCUUCCUCCUCCUCAUCUGCAUCUACCCCCACCGCCUCCUAGGCAAGCCUCCCUUCUUUCUGUUCCCACCAAGCAGCAGCAGCAUCUCUGCCCCCACCUACUCCUCCACCACCCCACCACCUGUGCCGCCGCCACUAUUGCCGUUGCUCUUGCUUCUCCUCACGAUAAUAAGCAGCAUGACCACAGGGAUGAUUUCUUUGUGAACUUGGGUCUGGCUGUGAGCACUCUAAGGAAAGACCACAGGUGCUGUUAUGCAGUGGAGGUAGAAACGAGUUUGAUCUCCAUAAAGCAUCAUAGGAUAUAGCGGUUAAAAAUGUUCCACAGAACAAUAAAUUAAAGGGUUCUAGUGGUGGGAAAUCUCGUAGUAAGAAACAAGGGCCUAAAAGGAAUGUGGUUGAUUUGAGAACCCUCUUGACCCUUUGUGAGCAAACUGUUGCUGCUGAUGAUCGAAGGACUGCAAAUGAGUUUUUGACGCAGAUUAGGCAACAUUCUUCUCCAAUUGGGGAUGGGAUGCAACGAUUGGCCAAAUAUUUCGCUGAUGGUCUUGAAGCACAUAUGGCUGGCUCCGGCACUCAAAUCUACAAAGCCCUUAUUACCAUGCCUACAUCAGCUGCUGAUGUCUUAAAAGCUUACCAGCUUUAUCUUGCUGCCUGUCCAUUUAGGAAGAUCUCUAAUUUCUUCUCGAAUAAGACGAUUUGGCAUGCUGCUAAGAAAGGCUCAACGCUACACAUAAUUGAUUCUGGUAUUCUAGGUUCCACGAUAGAAUCUUAUUCAUGGAGAUUUCACUUCAGUACUAAGGAUUUGGCAGCCGUCUGAGAAUUUGAUUCUGAUCAGAUGGAACUUGAGGGGAAAAUGUUGGAGCGAAAAGGAGUGGAAAUUGUUGGAGCGAAAAUCAGUGACGAAAAUGUUUUUACUCUGUCCUGGGAAAGAGAUUAUAAUGCCCUUGAUAUUUCGUCGCGUGUCUCACGAGAUGAUGCUUUCUGUCAAUUUUAACUGCUGGAUUUGACAGAAAGGCCACAAAUAUACUAUUUUAUUAGAUCGAGAGUUAGAACUUUACCGUUAAUUUUUAGAGGGCUAAAACUUUAUCUGAAAAAGAGUUUGAGUGCCAUUGGAACUCUUUUCCCUAUGGCAAAUGAUGUACCCACAACACAUGUUUAAUAGCUCCUGUAAAUUUAUAGUUCGACAUGUAGGUUCCCUUUUGUCCUUAGAUGCUCUGUGUAGGCAAAAUGGUUAUGUUCUAACUGUAACAAUCGAAGCUACGCUUGUAUUGUGCUGAAUUAGUCAAAAAUGCAACUUGUGUUAAUUUUAUUCUCAAUAUUUAUUAACUCUUGGAAGAAAAAGAAAAGAAACCAACUUAAAAUGAUCUAUGACUAGUGCAAUGCCUGCUAUAGCUCUUUUUUAACCCUCUUGAUUAUUUUCAGGUUUGUUAAGUAUAACUUUUUUUAAUCUUCAUUAUUGAAUUUCCUUAUAUUAUAGGAAUUUGCUAUACUAGUUAAAAAUGUUCAACUACUGGGAUGAACUAACUACAGGCUGCAAUUAAUUCAGCAAUUUAAUAAGCUGUGGCAAGAGGAUUGUACAUUAUAGUUUUGAAGAAGUGAAAAAAAAAUGAAAACCUGUAUGAAGAAUUGAAGGGUACUGCUGACAAUGAGUAUGACAGUAUUCUGGUCGCAUAGUAUUAGAACUGUGCCAAGUUUGUAUCAUUGCAAACUAUACAGUUCUGAUUUCAUUAAGAAACUAUACAGUUCUGAUUUCAUGUGCCAAGUAGAUCAUCUUCCAUUAUUAUUAUUAUUAUUUUGCAGAAAGUGAAGGCAGCAAAAGAGAUUCUACUUCUCAUAAAAUGAAUGUGAUAAUUGGAAAGGUACAUUGUUUGUGUUUAACACUUCAAUUCCUCUUCAAAUAUCUUAUUUUAGAUUUUACCACUACUAUUUAACUAAAAUUAUUUAUGUUAUGUAGGGCCCGGAGUUGAAAAUUUGGAAUCCAUAAGCAAUAGCUGGAAAGGAUUAUUGUGGAAUGGACAACAUGCUACUGUUUUAGUGCUUUAAUUGCAAAAUUUGUUUCACUUUUUUAACUUGAAUGGACACUUUGUCUUUGUUUUUUCUUUUUGUAUGACGUGGUGGAUGUUGGUUGUGUGACUUAUCUCUGAAUUUGGAUGUUAGUUUUGAUGUUAAAAUACAGAUGAAUUGGAUAUUGGUUGGCAUAUCGACUGAAAAGUGUUGACAGUUUGAUGCUUUGGACUUUAAAUUGAUAUUUUUAAGACUGGUUUGUCUCAAACUCUCAAUCAUAUGGAUGAGUUUGGAUUUUGAAAUUUUUGAUUUUGUACAUUUCUGUGGGAAUGCUUGAAUUUUCGAAUGCAAAUGACAGAUGAAAAGACUGAUUGAAAGAGCA